CACUGAGCCUGGCUCGUNUAAAAUGGAGGGGAAAGCAAAUGCCAGGGCAAGCCAAUGCUUCGCUUCUCCCUCCUAAGAAGCCAAGAAGCCUUCACCUGGCCCAGCAACCAUGGGCCCCUCUCAGGCACAGCAUCCCUAGGUUGGGCCUUGGAACCACAGACAGAAUCGUCGAAUGGAAUGGUGGGGCUGAACAGAGGACAAGGGCCAUCUCGUCCAAUGCAGAUGCAUGAAGACCUUCAGGGAAAGGAAACACCUCACCCAGCCCCAUCCCAAUUCAGCAGCUAUCUAAAGAUGACAAGCCGAGGAAGGAACGCGGCUGGAAGGACACGUCAAGUUAAGCCGACUUCAAGCCCGCUGGAACCCGCCCUGCUUCGUCUGAACUACUUUGUUAAUUAUUGCAGGAACGUUCACUGGGUUGCUCUAAUUGAAACUCGAAUAGCGAUUCCGAUCCAACAACAGCUUUAACACUCGGGAUUUACUUCCAGGGGUAGGAUGUGUGAGCUCUAUUAAUAAUCAUAAAAAUCCUGCUAACC
rnacentral:lncRNA from 1 species